rnacentral:rRNA from 1 species
UACGUAGGGUGCAAGCGUUACUCGGAAUUACUGGGCGUAAAGCGUGCGCAGGCGGCUUUGCAAGACAGAUGUGAAAUCCCCGGGCUUAACCUGGGAACUGCAUUUGUAACUGCAUGGCUGGAGUGCGGCAGAGGGGGAUGGAAUUCCGCGUGUAGCAGUGAAAUGCGUAGAUAUGCGGAGGAACACCGAUGGCGAAGGCAAUCCCCUGGGCCUGCACUGACGCUCAUGCACGAAAGCGUGGGGAGCAAACAGG